rnacentral:lncRNA from 10 species
ACAGGAACAACGUGUGAAAUGAAAGACCUCAGGUGCUGUAUUGGCUCUUGACAGCUCUUCAGAAGAAAAUACCUCCUGCCUGUUCUGUUCAGUCCUGGUGCAGGUGGUCCUGGACAACACUUUGAAAAAUGCUGGGGCAGAAACAAGCCAGCAAGCAUAUGGGAUUCAUCUGCUGUGAGUGAUAAUUUAUCUAGUUUCUAAAAAUAGUGUUAUAGGCUGG